rnacentral:rRNA from 1 species
CCUACGGGCGGCAGCGGUCGAGAAUCAUUCACAAUGGGGGAAACCCUGAUGGUGCGACGCCGCGUGGGGGAAUGAAGGUCUUCGGAUUGUAAACCCCUGUCAUGUGGGAGCAAAUUAAAAAGAUAGUACCACAAGAGGAAGAGACGGCUAACUCUGUGCCAGCAGCCGCGGUAAUACAGAGGUCUCAAGCGUUGUUCGGAAUCACUGGGCGUAAAGUGUGCGUAGGCUGUUUCGUAAGUCGUGUGUGAAAGGCGCGGGCUCAACCCGCGGACGGCACAUGAUACUGCGAGACUAGAGUAAUGGAGGGGGAACCGGAAUUCUCGGUGUAGCAGUGAAAUGCGUAGAUAUCGAGAGGAACACUCGUGGCGAAGGCGGGUUCCUGGACAUUAACUGACGCUGAGGCACGAAGGCCAGGGGAGCGAAAGGGAUUAGAUACCCCUGUAGUC